rnacentral:rRNA from 1 species
UACGAAGGGGGCUAGCGUUGCUCGGAAUUACUGGGCGUAAAGGGCGCGUAGGCGGAUAUCUAAGUUGGGGGUGAAAUCCCGGGGCUCAACCUCGGAAUUGCCUUCAAAACUGGGUAUCUUGAGUUCGGGAGAGGUGAGUGGAACUCCGGGUGUAGAGGUGAAAUUCGUAGAUAUUCGGAAGAACACCAGUGGCGAAGGCGACUCACUGGCCCGAUACUGACGCUGAUGCGCGAAAGCGUGGGGAGCGAUCCGG